UAGAGUUUGAUCCUGGCUCAGAUUGAACGCUGGCGGCAGGCUUAACACAUGCAAGUCGAGCGGGGGAGAUUACUUCGGUAAUUGACCUAGCGGCGGACGGGUGAGUAAUACUUAGGAAUCUGCCUAUUAAUGGGGGACAACAUCUCGAAAGGGAUGCUAAUACCGCAUACGCCCUACGGGGGAAAGCAGGGGAUCACUUGUGACCUUGCGUUAAUAGAUGAGCCUAAGUCGGAUUAGCUAGUUGGUGGGGUAAAGGCCUACCAAGGCGACGAUCUGUAGCGGGUCUGAGAGGAUGAUCCGCCACACUGGGACUGAGACACGGCCCAGACUCCUACGGGAGGCAGCAGUGGGGAAUAUUGGACAAUGGGGGGAACCCUGAUCCAGCCAUGCCGCGUGUGUGAAGAAGGCCUUAUGGUUGUAAAGCACUUUAAGCGAGGAGGAGGCUCUUCUAGUUAAUACCUAGGAUGAGUGGACGUUACUCGCAGAAUAAGCACCGGCUAACUCUGUGCCAGCAGCCGCGGUAAUACAGAGGGUGCGAGCGUUAAUCGGAUUUACUGGGCGUAAAGCGUGCGUAGGCGGCUUUUUAAGUCGGAUGUGAAAUCCCCGAGCUUAACUUGGGAAUUGCAUUCGAUACUGGGAAGCUAGAGUAUGGGAGAGGAUGGUAGAAUUCCAGGUGUAGCGGUGAAAUGCGUAGAGAUCUGGAGGAAUACCGAUGGCGAAGGCAGCCAUCUGGCCUAAUACGACGCUAGWCNAAGCGC
rnacentral:rRNA from 1 species